CAAGGCGACGAUCCCUAGCUGGUCUGAGAGGAUGACCAGCCACACUGGAACUGAGACACGGUCCAGACUCCUACGGGAGGCAGCAGUGGGGAAUAUUGCACAAUGGGCGCAAGCCUGAUGCAGCCAUGCCGCGUGUAUGAAGAAGGCCUUCGGGUUGUAAAGUACUUUCAGCGGGGAGGAAGGUGUUGUGGUUAAUAACCGCAGCAAUUGACGUUACCCGCAGAAGAAGCACCGGCUAACUCCGUGCCAGCAGCCGCGGUAAUACGGAGGGUGCAAGCGUUAAUCGGAAUUACUGGGCGUAAAGCGCACGCAGGCGGUCUGUCAAGUCGGAUGUGAAAUCCCCGGGCUCAACCUGGGAACUGCAUUCGAAACUGGCAGGCUUGAGUCUUGUAGAGGGGGGUAGAAUUCCAGGUGUAGCGGUGAAAUGCGUAGAGAUCUGGAGGAAUACCGGUGGCGAAGGCGGCCCCCUGGACAAAG
rnacentral:rRNA from 2 species